UGAGCCCGGUGAAUCAUCCAGCGUUCUCGCUGGUGCACUUUGCCGGGCCCAGGCCAGCAUCAGUUUGGCGCGGGGGAUAAAGGUGACGGGAAUGUGGCUCCCUCGGGAGUGUUAUAGCCCGCUACGUAAUACCCUGCGCCGGACUGAGGUACGCGCAUUGCAAGGAUGCUGGCGUAAUGGUCAUCAGCG
rnacentral:rRNA from 1 species